CUUAAUCUAAGUUUUUGUGCAAAUCUAAACUGACCUCUCUACGUGUGCAUGCUUUGUAAAAAUUCUUAUUACUUUCUGAAAUUAAUACUGUAUAUAAAAGAUGAUAGAGCCCAUUAGAAAUAAAUGCUUUAACAUUUAAAUUGGGUCUUUCUGAUGACAAGAUUUCAAUGUUAACAGUACAUAGCUAGCAUAAACUGUCACUAUUAACAGCAGCUGGUAGUUUGUAGCA